GAUGAACGCUGGCGGCGUGCCUAAUACAUGCAAGUCGAGCGAACGGACGAGAAUCUUGCUUCUCUGAUGUUAGCGGCGGACGGGUGAGUAACACGUGGAUAACCUACCUAUAAGACUGGGAUAACUUCGGGAAACCGUAGCUAAUACCGGAUAAUAUUUUGAACCGCAUGGUUCAAAAGUGAAAGACGGUCUUGCUGUCACUUAUAGAUGGAUCCGCGCUUCAUUAGCUAGUUUGUAAGGUAACGGCUUACCAAGGCAACGAUGCAUAGCCGACCUGAGAGGGUGAUCGGCCACACUGGAACUGAGACACGGUCCAGACUCCUACGGGAGGCAGCAGUAGGGAAUCUUCCGCAAUGGGCGAAAGCCUGACGGAGCAACGCCGCGUGAGUGAUGAAGGUCUUCGGAUCGUAAAACUCUGUUAUUAGGGAAGAACAUAUGUGUAAGUAACUGUGCACAUCUUGACGGUACCUAAUCAGAAAGCCACGGCUAACUACGUG
rnacentral:rRNA from 1 species